rnacentral:snoRNA from 1 species
AAGAUUGUACUUUCAGGGAUCAUUUCUAGAGUUCAUUACUAGAGAAUUUUCUCUGAACAUGUAAAGCCCGGGAAACCAGGAGGAGGCACAGCGUUCUCUCCUGAGUGCAAAGGCGGCUCUUGGUGUUGCUUUGCUGUAACUGCCAUUUGCUGUUGAUCGUUCUUUCCCUUUGAGGGAAAGAGGUUGAGGAUGUAGUCUGAAUGGU